UAGCCUUAAGGAAUUCUAUUAAUACCCCCUAACCCCCUUUCAUUUUCAAUCCAACCUAGGAAUUAAAACAUUUGUUUAGGAGAUAAUCAAAGCAAUUGGUAAGUUUACUCUCCUUAUUCUCCAUGAGAUUUCCAAUCACUCUAUUUAGGGCUUAUAUUAGCAUGAUUUUAGAUUGAUACAGAUUAUAAUACAUGAUUUAAGGUGUGUUUAGGUUCUGUUUAGGGUUUUGAUUUAUUGUGGGUUUUAAUAAUCAACCCUUGGUGUAUUAAGCACACUGAACAAAUUCUUGACAAUAUGAGUAUCUUGAAGUUAAACAUAUAUUUUCUGAAUGAUAUUUCUUAAGAACUUUAUAUUUCUGAAAACUAGAAAUGUAGGGCUUAUUGAUUAAAUUUUAUUUCAUAAGAUUUGACUUUGUUUUCAAUUUUAUAUGGAUUUUUGAAUCGAACACUAAUACACUGGAAAACUGUGAUUCCAUCAAGGCAAUCGGAUUCAUAAACUUAUUUGUACUAUUAAAUGAAUCCGAAACAUUCUUAGAUUUUAUAUAGGAGUUGAUACAUGUGUCUAGUAUUCCCAGUUUUAAUUUCAUAAUUGUCUGAUUAGUAUCUGAUUUUAUAAAAUUCUCAGAAUACUUUUUGUUCGGUUAAGAUACUGUGAAACAGUUUUGAAUUUGUCAAGCAAUAAAUAGUUUUGAAAACGUUUUUGGUAUCGGAUCCUCUUGGAAAUUUUAUAUGAGGUACCCAUGGAUGUCCAGAAUGGUUCUAUAGAAUAUUAUGUCAUUUUGAGUUUUAGAUUAAGAGUUAAAAUUUUAAGAAUCAGACUAGUACGGGUAUGAAUUAGCAAAUCAUAUUCUUAGGAUAAGUUAUUGAUAGUUAUAUCUUAUAUUUGUUAAGGUGUUGGAGGUGAUUGAGGCUUUUAGAGGCUUAUGUGAUGUUCAUAAUUAAGAAUAUUAAUAAUUAUUAUAAAUUUACAAAUAUAAUAAAAUAAAUAUUUAUUCAUUAAAUAUAUUUUUUAUUAGCUUUGUAAUUAAAAACUAUAAUUCUUUAAAUAAGGAUAAAAUUAUAAUUUGAAACUAUUUACUCCCAAUCUAAGAUAAAGUAAACACAUAAAUUGGAUUCUGAUCUCCAUUCCAGUGUAAGUAAACAACCUACUUCUACUCCCAUUCCACACUCCCAAUCCUAGGAUUCCCACUCCUCAGAAUUCCUACUCUAAUCCAAAGAGUAAACGCUACCUUAGAGGUGUGUUAGUUCAAAUCCCUUUAUUGAGGUAAGUAACUUCAUUCCUAAUAUACUGGAUAUGUAUAAGUAUUUUGAUAUUAUUACAAUAGUUUUUUUUUAUACUACUUAGAAGAUUAAUAGAUUUUCAUUACAAAAUCAGUUUAUGAAAAUGUUUUCAAAUCUAAAUCCUUUUAACAAAAUAUUUCAUAAAUUCUUUUCAAUAUGUAAAUUAUUUUAUAACAUGAUUGCCUUUUAUAAUUUUGUCUAUAAAAUAUUGUGCAAGCCUAAAUUAUUGUUAUGGACUUUUAUGAAUCUGAUAUGAAUAUUUUGUACCCAUAUCUGAUUUCAAUUAUUGAUGAUUGUAUGGGAUUUCAAAUGUUUUAGCUCAUUAUCCAUAGUUAUUCUGAUUCUGAUCGUAAUAUACGAUAUAUCUGUCUGGACCAGUAUUGGGUUUCUGUUCUGAGUGUGCACACGAUAUUCUGAUUCUGUUUCUGGCUGGGUCUCCAGGACUAUAGGUGAUACUAUGUGACAUGAGCUAACUAUCUGCUUUCUGUGUACGUGCUAUGUGAUUUGCUUUCACAAUUGAUUAUUCUUUAGAUAUUUUGAAUUAUUAUGAAAUUAUGUUAUUUUAUUGAAAUAUAUCGUUUUAUGAAAUUUAUGAAUUGUAACAUAUAUGUUUUAAAUAAAAGAAGGCUUGCAAUAUUUUUGGUAUCGAUUCGGCUAGUGUGUUAGGAAUGGUUUUACUUACAGAGUUUACGGCUCACCCCUCAUCAUUAUUUUUUGCAGAUUAAGUUCCGUUUGAAAGGUGUGCCUAGCUUUGGAGUUAGCGAUUUCAUUUCCGUUUGCUAUUUGAAUAAGAAGAGGAAUGGACUCAUGUUUCUAUUUAGUUUAUUUCUGUUAUGAACUUGUAAUUUGGAGUUUGAGACUUUAGUUAUUUUUGGGAGAGACUAUUUAGUGUAGAAUGUGUGAAUUUGUGGAUUUAUUUGAAUAAGAAUUUGAGGUAUUUCAGUUUGAAAUUUAUGAGUAAGGAUUACAAUUUGUAAGUAACCCCCUUCUUCACGUGCUUUGCACGUGUUAGAUUUGGGGCGUUACAAUUCAAGUGUUUGUUGUGGAAAAACUCGAGCAACG
rnacentral:lncRNA from 1 species